CGUUGGCUUCGGGCUGGCAAGGCUGCCGCAGCCAUUUCCAAGAUCCGGGCGUUCCAUGGGAGCAACAAGAACCGCAUUCUUGGCCUCCUCGCGGACGGGGUGCACGUGUCGGGUGAGGCAGACAUGGCCCAGGCCGCUUUCACGCACUUAUCCUCCGUCCUCGGCACGCCCGCGGAGCGAGGCAUCACUCUCGACCUGGUAGUCAUUGACCAGCGCUCCUUCGACCUCUCUGCUCUGGACCUUCCGUUCUCGUCGGAGGAAAUAUGGGAGGCUAUCAAGCGGCUCCCUUCUGACAAGGCCCCCGGCCUAGACGGCUUCACGGCCUAGUUCUUGCGUUCUUGCUGGCCCAUCAUCAAGGACGAUCUUUGCGACGUCUUCGACAAGCUCUACGCACUAAAUGGCCAAGCCUUUCAGCGGCUCAACGAGGCAUACAUCACCCUGCUGCCCAAGCGAUCCGACGCCACCUCCCUCUUUGAUUACCGGCCGAUUAGCCUCAUCCACCUGGUCGCGAAGCUCUUCACAAAGGUUCUCUCGCUCCGGUUGGCACCACACCUUGGCGAGGUCGUCUCCCCCAACCAAAGCGAUUUCAUUGCUGGGAGGAGUGCCCACGACAAUUUCCUCCUUGUCCACCAAACCGCGCGGCAGCUGCAUCAACUCAAGCACCCUCGAGUCCUCCUCAAGCUGGAUAUUGCGCGUGCAUUCGACUCGGUAUCCUGGCCGUUCCUGCUUCAGGUGCUCCAGCACAUGGGUUUCGGCCCGCGGUGGCGCGAGUGGAUUUCCAUACUGAUCUCGACGGCCUCGACACGUGUCUUGAUCAACGGCUCGCCAGGCCCCCCAUUUCGCAUGGCCAGGGCCUUCGUCAAGGUGACCCGGUGUCCCCCAUGA
rnacentral:rRNA from 1 species